rnacentral:rRNA from 1 species
AUUGGACGCUGGCGGCAGGCCUAACACAUGCAAGUCGAGCGGAUGAAGGGAGCUUGCUCCUGGAUUCAGCGGCGGACGGGUGAGUAAUGCCUAGGAAUCUGCCUGGUAGUGGGGGAUAACGUCCGGAAACGGGCGCUAAUACCGCGUACGUCCUGAGGGAGAAAGUGGGGGAUCUUCGGACCUCACGCUAUCAGAUGAGCCUAGGUCGGAUUAGCUAGUUGGUGGGGUAAAGGCCUACCAAGGCGACGAUCCGUAACUGGUCUGAGAAGAUGAUCAGUCACACUGGAACUGAGACACGGUCCAGACUCCUACGGGAGGCAGCAGUGGGGAAUAUUGGACAAUGGGCGAAAGCCUGAUCCAGCCAUGCCGCGUGUGUGAAGAAGGUCUUCGGAUUGUAAAGCACUUUAAGUUGGGAGGAAGGGCAGUAAGUUAAUACCUUGCUGUUUUGACGUUACCAACAGAAUAAGCACCGGCUAACUUCGUG